rnacentral:rRNA from 1 species
GAUGAACGCUGGCGGCGUGCCUAAUACAUGCAAGUCGAGCGAAUGGAUUAAGAGCUUGCUCUUAUGGAGUUAGCGGCGGACGGGUGAGUAACACGUGGGUAACCUGCCCAUAAGACUGGGAUAACUCCGGGAAACCGGGGCUAAUACCGGAUAACAUUUUGAACCGCAUGGUUCGAAAUUGAAAGGCGGCUUCGGCUGUCACUUAUGGAUGGACCCGCGUCGCAUUAGCUAGUUGGUGAGGUAACGGCUCACCAAGGCAACGAUGCGUAGCCGACCUGGGAGGGUGCUCGGCCACACUGGGACUGAGACACGGCCCAGACUCCUACGGGAGGCAGCAGUAGGGAAUCUUCCGCAAUGGACGAAAGUCUGACGGAGCAACGCCGCGUGAGUGAUGAAGGCUUUCGGGUCGUAAAACUCUGUUGUUAGGGAAGAACAAGUGCUAGUUGAAUAAGCUGGCACCUUGACGGUACCUAACCAGAAAGCCACGGCUAACUACGUGCCAGCAGCCGCGGUAA